AUGGAGCUGCUCCUGGGAGUUGUUUUAGUGAUUUUAUGGCUUCCAGUGGACUGGGUGAGCAGCCAAAAGAUGGAACAGGAUCGCCAGUCCCUGAGCAUCCAGGAGGGUGAAAAGGCCAUUCUGACCUGUAACUACACAAACUUUUCUCCAGUAUCCUUACAGUGGUACCGACAAGAUCUGGGAAGAGGCCUGGUCUUCUUGCUCCUAAUACGUGAAAAUGAGCAUGGGAAACAGACAGGAAGACUGAGGGCCACCUUUGAUACCAGUCUCAGACAGAGCUCCUUUCAUAUCACAGCGUCCCAGCCUGCAGACUCAGCCACCUACUUCUGUGCUGCAGACACACAGCAGGGCCCUGCCACCUGCUGUCUGUACUAA